rnacentral:snRNA from 1 species
GCGCUCACUUUGGCAGCACAUAUACUAAAACUGGGAUAUGGAGAAGACUGGCACAGCCCCAAUGCAACAGUGACAUGAAAAUUCAUAAAGCAUUCCAUAAUUUU